UACGUAGGUGGCAAGCGUUGUCCGGAUUUAUUGGGUUUAAAGGGUGCGUAGGCGGCUUAUUAAGUCAGUGGUGAAAUACUCUAGCUCAACUAGAGGGGUGCCAUUGAUACUGAUGAGCUUGAGUACAGAUGAGGUAGGCGGAAUUGACGGUGUAGCGGUGAAAUGCGUAGAUAUCGUCAAGAACACCUAUAGCGAAGGCAGCUUACUAGGCUGUAACUGACGCUGAGGCACGAAAGUGUGGGGAUCAAACAGG
rnacentral:rRNA from 1 species